AUUGAACGCUGGCGGCAGGCCUAACACAUGCAAGUCGAGCGGGCGGGGGGCGGGUGAGUAAUGACUGGCAAGCAGCUUGAUGGAUGGGGGGAACUACCAGAAACGGACGACAAUACCUCCUACCAUCAGAUGUGUCUGGACGGGAUUAGCUAGUAGGUGGGGUAACGGCUCACCAAGGCGACGAUCCCUAGCUGGUCUGAGAGGAUGAACAGCCACACUGGAACUGAGACACGGUCCAGACUCCUACGGGAGGCAGCAGUGGGGAAUAUUGCACAAUGGGGGCAAGCCUGAUGCAGCCAUGCCGCGUGUGUGAAGAAGGCCUUCGGGUUGUAAAGCACUUUCAGCGGGGAGGCGUUACUCGCAGAAGAAGCACCGGCUAACUCCGUGCCAGCCGCCGCGGUAAUUC
rnacentral:rRNA from 1 species